rnacentral:rRNA from 1 species
GACGAACGCUGGCGGCGUGCUUAACACAUGCAAGUCGAGCGGAGCGGCGAACGGGUGAGUAACGCGUGAGUAACUGCCCCCCUCCCUGGGGUAACAGUUGGAAACGGGAGCUAAUACCGGAUAGUGGGGGAUGAAUCGCGGCUUAUCGGCUUGGUGGUGGGGUAGUGGCCGACCAAGGCGACGACUGGUAGCCGGCCUGAGAGGGCGACCGGCCACAAUGGGCUACGAUACGUCCCAAAGGCCUACGGGGGGCAGCAGUGGGGAGUAUUGCACAAUGGGGGAAACCGUGAUGCAGCGACGCCGCGUGCGGAAUGACGGCCUUCGGGUUGUAAACCGCUUUCAGCCAUGACGCGGUAGUGGCAGAAGAAGCACCGACUAACUACGUGCCAGCAGCCGCGGUAAUAC